rnacentral:rRNA from 1 species
CCUACGGGUGGCAGCAGUGGGGAAUAUUGGGCAAUGGGCGCAAGCCUGACCCAGCAACGCCGCGUGAAGGAAGAAGGCUUUCGGGUUGUAAAGCUCUAUCAGCAGGGAAGAAAAUGACGGUACCUGACUAAGAAGCCCCGGCUAACUACGUGCCAGCAGCCGCGGUAAUACGUAGGGGGCAAGCGUUAUCCGGAUUUACUGGGUGUAAAGGGAGCGUAGACGGCAGCGCAAGUCUGGAGUGAAAUCCCAUGGCUUAACCAUGGAACUGCUUUGGAAACUGUGCAGCUGGAGUGCAGGAGAGGUAAGCGGAAUUCCUAGUGUAGCGGUGAAAUGCGUAGAUAUUAGGAGGAACACCAGUGGCGAAGGCGGCUUACUGGACUGUAACUGACGUUGAGGCUCGAAAGCGUGGGGAGCAAACAGGAUUAGAUACCCGGGUAGUC